AUGCAGAGGAUAGCACAUGAUCUAAAAAUUUGGGCCAAGUCACUCUUUAGUGAUGCAAAAGUUCAGUUUCACUUGGCAUGUGAGGUGAUUCUUUGGCUUGACGUUGCUCAAGAGAGAAGAGGGCUGACCCAAAAUGAAUUCCUGUUAAGAAAGCAUCUCAAACUCAGGAUACUUGGACUGACAAUAGUGGAAAGAGCACGGAAAAGACAAGCCUCAAGGAUCACCUAGCUCAAGGCAGGAGACGCACGCACGACAUUUUUUCAAGCAAAGAUCAACUCAAGAAGAAGGAAGAACUUUAUUCUUUCACUGCAAAUGGACACAAUCACAGCCACAACCCAUGAGGAGAAAGAUUCAAUUGCUCACAACUAUUUUGCAAACCUAUUGGGAAGAAAAGAGGCAAGACCGUGCUCCAUCAACUAGGAGGAAUCGGACAUGCCAAGCCUGUAAAACAAGGGAUUAGACAACCAUUUCUCUGAACCUGAAAUCUGGGCUGCUGUCAUAGCAUCCCCGACCAACAAAGUGCCAGGCCCCAAGGGCUUCUAG
rnacentral:rRNA from 1 species